GGGGAGCGUUCUGUAAGCCGAUGAAGGUGUGUUGAGAAGCAUGCUGGAGGUAUCAGAAGUGCGAAUGCUGACGUGAGUAACGACAAAACGGGUGAAAAACCCGUUCGCCGAAAGACCAAGGGUUCCAGUCCAACGUUAAUCGGGGCUGGGUGAGUCGACCCCUAAGGCGAGGCCGAAAGGCGUAGUCGAUGGGAAAAUGGUUAAUAUUCCAUUACUUCUGUGUAAUGCGAUGAGAGGACGGAGAAGGCUAAAUCAGCCUGGCGUUGGUUGUCCAGGUGAAAGGAUGUAGGCAUGUAUCUUAGGCAAAUCCGGGGUACUCUAUGCUGAGAUCUGAUAGCAAGCUGUACUUGUACAGCGAAGUGGUUGAUGCCAUGCUUCCAGGAAAAGUCUCUAAGCUUCAGUUACACAGGAAUCGUACCCGAAACCGACACAGGUGGUCAGGUCGAGUAGACCAAGGCGCUUGAGAGAACUCUGCUGAAGGAACUAGGCAAAAUGGUACCGUAACUUCGGGAGAAGGUACGCUGUUGUUGGUGAUGGAACUCGCUUCCUGAGCUGACGACAGCCGCAGAAACCAGGCCGCUGCAACUGUUUAUUAAAAACAUAGCACUCUGCAAACACGAAAGUGGACGUAUAGGGUGUGAUGCCUGCCCGGUGCUGGAAGGUUAAUUGAUGGGGUUAGCGUAAGCGAAGCUCUUGAUCGAAGCCCCAGUAAACGGCGGCCGUAACUAUAACGGUCCUAAGGUAGCGAAAUUCCUUGUCGGGUAAGUUCCGACCUGCACGAAUGGCAUAAUGAUGGCGGCGCUGUCUCCAGCAGAGGCUCAGUGAAAUCGAAAUCGCUGUGAAGAUGCAGUGUACCCGCGGCUAGACGGAAAGACCCCGUGAACCUUUACUGCAGCUUGACACUGAACUUUGACCUUACUUGUGUAGGAUAGGUGGGAGGCUUUGAAGCUGGAACGCUAGUUCCAGUGGAGCCGUCCUUGAAAUACCACCCUGGUAAUGUUGAGGUUCUAACUCUGUCCCGUGAUCCGGGACGAGGACCGUGUCUGGUGGGUAGUUUGACUGGGGCGGUCUCCUCCUAAAGAGUAACGGAGGAGUACGAAGGUGCGCUCAGCGUGGUCGGAAAUCACGCGUAGAGUAUAAAGGCAAAAGCGCGCUUAACUGCGAGACCCACAAGUCGAGCAGGUACGAAAGUAGGUCUUAGUGAUCCGGUGGUUCUGUAUGGAAGGGCCAUCGCUCAACGGAUAAAAGGUACUCUGGGGAUAACAGGCUGAUACCGCCCAAGAGUUCAUAUCGACGGCGGUGUUUGGCACCUCGAUGUCGGCUCAUCUCAUCCUGGGGCUGAAGCAGGUCCCAAGGGUAUGGCUGUUCGCCAUUUAAAGAGGUACGCGAGCUGGGUUUAGAACGUCGUGAGACAGUUCGGUCCCUAUCUACCGUGGGCGCUGGAAAUUUGAGAGGAUCUGCUCCUAGUACGAGAGGACCAGAGUGGACGAACCUCUGGUGUACCGGUUGUGACGCCAGUCGCAUCGCCGGGUAGCUAUGUUCGGAAGGGAUAACCGCUGAAAGCAUCUAAGCGGGAAGCCUACCUCAAGAUAAGAUUUCCCUAGGACUUUAUGUCCUCUAAAGAGCCGUUCGAGACUAGGACGUUGAUAGGUUGGAUGUGGAAGCAUAGUGAUAUGUGAAGCUGACCAAUACUAAUUGCUCGUGAGGCUUGACUAU
rnacentral:rRNA from 1 species